rnacentral:tRNA from 1 species
UCUGUGGUAGUCCAGUGGCUAAAACUCUGCACUCCCAAUGCAGGGGCCCAGGUUUGAUUCCUGGUAAGGGAA